AACGAACGCUGGCGGCAUGCCUAACACAUGCAAGUCGAACGAGACCUUCGGGUCUAGUGGCGCACGGGUGCGUAACGCGUGGGAACCUGCCCUUAGGUUCGGAAUAACUCCCCGAAAGGGGUGCUAAUACCGGCUAAUGUCUUCGGACCAAAGAUUUAUCGCCUUUGGAUGGGCCCGCGUUGGAUUAGCUAGUUGGUAGGGUAAAAGCCUACCAAGGCGACGAUCCAUAGCUGGUCUGAGAGGAUGAUCAGCCACACUGGGACUGAGACACGGCCCAGACUCCUACGGGAAGCAGCAGUGGGGAAUAUUGGACAAUGGGCGAAAGCCUGAUCCAGCAAUGCCGCGUGAGUGAUGAAGGCCUUAGGGUUGUAAAGCUCUUUUACCCGGGAUGAUAAUGACGGUACCGGGAGAAUAAGCUCCGGCUAACUCCGUG
rnacentral:rRNA from 1 species